rnacentral:lncRNA from 12 species
GGUGAUAGUGGUAUGCCCAAGACCAUCUCUGUGGUCUGACAGCCAGAAGGCACCCCCACCACACCACCCCUCGGCUCAGAGGGUUAGGAGGAAACAAAAGAAGAAAUGACAAAAAGAAAGGAGAGAGGUAAGUCAAAAUUAAAUACAUAAGAGCCCUAGUUUUAAUUUUUAAAGCUUAAGAAUUGCUAUAUCAUCCCAGGGUC